GCCUUCGUGGUGUAAUAGUCAGAACACUCGGCCCGUAUUCGAGAGGUCCGAGGUUCGAGUCCCAGCGAGGACA
rnacentral:tRNA from 1 species